rfam:Bursaphelenchus xylophilus, Ka4C1 (inbred line), WGS project CADV01000000 data, contig: scaffold00307
GGUGAGAUGGCCGAGCGGUCUAAGGCGCUGGUUUUAGGCACCAGUCUCUUCGGAGGCGUGGGUUCGAAUCCCACUCUCAUCA